rnacentral:tRNA from 1 species
GGAAAAGUGCCAGAGCGGUUGAAUGGUCCUGACUCGAAAUCAGGUGUACUGCAUUGCGGUACCGGGGGUUCGAAUCCCUCCUUUUCCGCCA